GGAGGGGAAAGAGCUGAAGCGAGAGGGAGCAAAAGCAAGAACUCAAGCUAGGAAGGAGAUCAAGAAGGCAGACAAGGAAGAGGUGGUCAUUAGGAAGAUUGAGGGUGAGCAGGAAGGUUGCUUCUGCCUAAGUCUUGCGUGAGUGAUGAAAAGAAGUUAAUGGAUUUUGAGCUGGUUUGCAAGAUCACUAACCAGCACACGUGUUGAAGGUGGGGAUGCACCAAGAACAUGCCCCAACAGUGUGACAGGAUGUGCCUUAGUGGUGUCAAGUUCCAGCAAAUCCCCAAUGUCUUCUGACUACAAGUGUUUCCAAAGUGAUUGCAGACGACAACAAGAACAAUAAUAAAUAAAAAACAACCCCCUUUCUGUUCA